rnacentral:rRNA from 1 species
GCUAGUAAUGGCAGGUCAGCAUACUGCCGUGAAUACGUUCCCGGGCCUUGUACACACCGCCCGUCACACCAUGAGAGUUGGGAAUACCCGAAGCCUGUGAGCUAACUAAUAGAGGCAGCAGUCGAAGGUAGAAUCAAUGAUUGGGGUGAAGUCGUAACAAGGUAGC